rnacentral:rRNA from 1 species
AUUGAACGCUGGCGGCAUGCCUUACACAUGCAAGUCGAACGGCAGCACGGGAGCAAUCCUGGUGGCGAGUGGCGAACGGGUGAGUAAUAUAUCGGAACGUGCCCAGUAGUGGGGGAUAGCCCGGCGAAAGCCGGAUUAAUACCGCAUGAGACCUGAGGGUGAAAGCGGGGGAUCGCAAGACCUCGCGCUACUGGAGCGGCCGAUAUCAGAUUAGCUAGUAGGUGGGGUAAAGGCCUACCAAGGCAACGAUCUGUAGUUGGUCUGAGAGGACGACCAGCCACACUGGGACUGAGACACGGCCCAGACUCCUACGGGAGGCAGCAGUGGGGAAUUUUGGACAAUGGGCGCAAGCCUGAUCCAGCAAUGCCGCGUUGCAGGAAGAAGGCCCUUCGGUUUGAAACUGCUUUUG